ACCACUCCUCGGUCUUGGCUUGGUCUUGACGGUCUCAUUCUUGCUAUUUCUGCUUUCCUGUUUCUAGUUCUCACCAACGGCUUCGGUGGUGAUAAUCACACAAUCGACGACAAUGAUAACAAUUCGUUGACCCGCCCUCAGCGACGGAUGAGUAAAAGAUUGCGGGUUUUGUCCGCAAUUCCUUCUGCUCUUAUAGUUUUCUUAUUUGGGUUGGUAUUAUGUUUCAUUCGGCAUCCUUCCAUCAUCAAUGAUCUUAAAUUUGGUCCAUCAAGAAUCCAGCUGCUGAAAAUUACAUGGGAAGAUUGGA
rnacentral:misc_RNA from 1 species